rnacentral:rRNA from 1 species
CUACGGGGGGCAGCAGUGAGGAAUAUUGCACAAUGGGGGGAACCCUGAUGCAGCAACGCCGCGUGGAGGAUGACGCAUUUCGGUGUGUAAACUCCUUUUAUAUGUCAAGAAAAUGACGGUAGCAUAUGAAUAAGCACCGGCUAACUCCGUGCCAGCAGCCGCGGUGAAUACGGAGGGUGCAAGCGUUACUCGGAAUCACUGGGCGUAAAGGACGCGUAGGCGGGUUGGAAAGUCAGGUGUGAAAUCCUACAGCUUAACUGUAGAACUGCACUUGAAACUUCUAAUCUAGAGUAUGGGAGGGGGAGAUGGAAUUAGUGGUGUAGGGGUAAAAUCCGUAGAUAUCACUAGGAAUACCUAAAGCGAAGGCGAUCUCCUGGAACAUUACUGACGCUAAGGCGUGAAAGCGUGGGGAGCAAACAGGAUUAGAUACCCUAGUAGUC